AGAUGUAAAGGCUAGAAAUCGUGGACCGUUGAGAUCGACCUGGUUGGCCCAAGUUUGACUAAUAACAGAAGAAGAAAAACUACCAGUGCUCAAUGUAACUGUAACAAUAACAGUUAAUAAGUAAAUAUCUAAAACUUACCUUAUAUCAACAGCAUAAUUAUCUGAGCUGCUUCUUAUUGCAGGAGGAACGGAGUAAUCCGGAGCAUAAACCUAUUAAUCAAUUAAUGUAAUUUUCUUCUUCUAAAGUCUAAUGAAUGAUAUUAAUAUUAAACAAAUCUGACCUGAUUGCAAAUUUCACAGGUGAUGUCACCCUUCUUGUUGCACCAUUUCUGGAUGCACUUCCUAUGCGCAAACUAAACAGUAGCAGGAGAUGUUAUAAUUAAUAUCGACG
rnacentral:lncRNA from 1 species